rnacentral:snoRNA from 1 species
GCCCUCUCGAUCCCUUGCCCAGCAGAGCUAACAUUGGUCUGGGAGGUCAUAACAGGAGGAAGUCUAAUAGAAACUGGCUUAUAUUCUUUCAUGACUCACAAGCACGUUUUUAAAAAAG